rnacentral:rRNA from 1 species
UACGGAGGGUGCAAGCGUUAUCCGGAUUCACUGGGUUUAAAGGGUGCGUAGGCGGGUUGGUAAGUCCGUGGUGAAAUCCCCAAGCUUAACUUGGGAACUGCCGUGGAUACUAUCAAUCUUGAAUAUCGUGGAGGUAAGCGGAAUAUGUCAUGUAGCGGUGAAAUGCUUAGAUACGACAUAGAACACCAAUUGCGUAGGCAGCUUACUACACGAUCAUUGACGCUGAGGCACGAAAGCGUGGGGAGCAAACAGG